AGUUGAAGCACCAGGCUGAAGAGGAGCAGCUGAGGGAGCUGGAAGGGGGGCUCAGCCUGGAGAAAUGGAGGCUCAGGGGAGACCUCACUGCUCUCUGAGAGGAGGCUCUCGUGGGAUGGGAGUCAGUCUCUUCUCCAAGGACUGCCAGCUUGAAGAGAUGCUGAGACAUUCCAUGCUUCAGAUGGGACACCAGCCACCAAAACAAUUCCAGAGGCACAGCCCCAUGACACAAAAUUUAUAAUGGCAGGGGGACUGUACUCCAGGAAAUAUCAGACUAAUUGCAAACAUGGCUCUUUCAUGGAAUGCCCCACAGCACAGAACUCACACCAAACGACCCGGAUCAUCAUCAUUCUCCUGCCACAGCAUUAGAGCCUUGUUUAUUGGAAACCUCAUUUCCAGAUGUAUUGAGUAAAUGCUGAUCUUCGGGGAUUCGCUGGAAAUUGCAGACACCUGGAGUGGCAGCUCUGUGAACAGGGACUCAUCUAGAAGUGCACAGUUUACACAGGAUCUGUGAACACACAGGAACUAUUCCAUCUCUCCUGGACCCUGGAGACCUGGGCAAGCAAAAGGAGGAGGGUCAGUCACGACAGCAAAGUCAUUUGCUGGGGGAUCCAGUUGACCAAAGGUAAAAAGAAACAGCAAAAUAAAAACCCCAAUAUGAUGCAACUUCCCCAGCCAUUUGUGUUUGCAUGGAUAAAGGCAGUAUAAUAUGGUGCAUUCCCAGAGGCAAAGCCAGCUUCUUUUCCAUGUGAGAACAUUAACUUCAAAUGCCAGAAAGAUAGUCAUUUGUGAAUUAAGUAUUCAACAACAGAAUAUUCAUUUCUUAAUCUAAACCAUUUCUAACUGUUGUACUACUGAAAAAGUAAUUUGAAAGUAUAGAAAUCAUCCAUGAUUUUUAAUUAGAGUCAAUGAGAGUCUGGGUUUCACCCUUCACCUUUUCUAAACCCACACUAAGUCACUGCUCUCUAAUAGAAUAUGUUAGAAUCCCCUGAUUCAGACUCCCACAGACCAGAAAAAACCCAAAAGCCAGCCACACUGGUGGCUUGGUUCAUGGAGGUUUCUGCUGCAGUGAUCUGAUGUCCCUGAAAACUUCUAGGUGUCUGUGUAAUGCCUGAAAACAUCUACCUGCUACUCAUGGGAAAAGGUUUUUUUCCCAGUGGCUCUACGUAAUGAAUCAUAUUGGAAUAUAACUUGAUUUUAAACCCUGAAAAAUCUGAUACAUUCCCUCCAUGUUGAAAAAUAUCAUCAAGAGGUCAUUUGUCUUGAAUAAAAUUCCAUGGGAAGUAAGGGCUAUUUUAAAUAUUGCUGGGGUCUCUGAAAAUCAGUGAAUAAAAAGAGAGUGCCCAAUGCCCAGAAAUGUGUAUGGUUGUUGGAAAAGAAAUGUUAAGAUAAAGCCUCCCAUAAUGGAGAAAUUUUUAAUGUAAUGCAUUAGCUCUUGACACACAGUUCUUGUCUAAUAAUUUACACCUCUCUCCAGUUCCUUAAAGUAACAUCUGGAGAAAUAAAGCAUGAACACUUUAAUUGGCUUUUGUGUUGCUGGCUGAGAUUAAAUAUGAAAAGUAAAUGGGAAAAAUUAUUUAAUGCCAGUAACUUGAUCAUUUUGGACCAGCAGUGUUUUCCUGCAAAUGUCUUUUAAAAUUUGCAAAUAGGAACUGAAAUAAUUAUUUGAAAUUUAUGAUAUAUAUAUUUCACAAAAACCUCCUGAAAUAUUUAUCUGUUUACUAGUCCAAAACAUAGAGUAGACAGGCAAAUGUCAAUUUACUAACACAGCAAUAUUAUGCUUUUUUUAAAUACCAGGAAAUCAUAAAAAUUAUUCUGAGAGUUUAGUUCCUAUUUUCUGAUUGAUAAAAAGGGGCAGAUAGGGAAUAAUCUUUCUCUUAUUAUACAGUUAGUUAAAUGUGUAAGCAAAAAACAGCAUUAAGAGCAAUCUUCCCUUGCCAGUAAGUUUUCCAUGAUUUUAUUGCAGCAGAGAACCAAAACAGGCAUUCUUUCACUUAAUUAAAAGAGAGGAUGAAAGAAAUCUUUUGAACUAGUCAAAAAGACCUGUAAAACAAAACACUAUGAGAAAACAAAUGUAAAAUUAUCAAUAACAUUAUUUAUUUACCUCUCAAAUGUGUUCCAUGUAUGCAGGAUGAUCUGACUGAACUACCUUUUUUGGUUUUUGCCUUUCCUUCUGCAUCUAAAUCAAUAUGCAAAUGUAUUGGCAUUUCUUUAAUGGGUUUGUAUUUCUUGCUCCAGCAUAUGUGAUCAGAUUGGAAAGCACAGUGAAAUCAGUGAAGUCAACCCCUCAUUUCACCAUCUUAUUUGGGACAAAUAAAUUUUAAGAAUUCCUCUCUGACGUGCCCAGGUGAGGUGGGAAGGCCCGGAGAUGACACUGACACACAGCCUCUCUUCUCACUGCUCACUCUCACCCCACACUCACAGUGCCCCUUCCUCAGUUGUUCACAGAAAAACACACAUGGGAGUGUGUUCUGAAACAGAUUGCAAGCUGAGCCGGGCUAAAAAUAAUUCUUAAAACCAACGCCAAGUCUUCCCAAUUUGGCAUUACCCUCAGGGGCUUGUGGAAGCCUUUUCAAGGCUUUCACAACCAUAACCAACCCACCCAAGCAAAAGCAAAUACUGGUUGGGCAUUGCCUUUUGUUCUUACGCUCAUCCGUGUCUGUUUCACAGACAGAGAACUAUGAUUUAGGUUUGUAAUCUCACUGGUGAUUCUGAGAUUAAAUCUAUGUAUAACUAAAGGCAGAAAAUCAUUAGUGCAAUGUCUCAGGAGCUGACCUAAACUGACUUUCAGUUUCCAGGCCUACAUAGAAAAGUUUAGGGGUUUUUGAUGUCUUUUAAUUUGGAAGACAAGAAGAGAAGCUGGCUCAUUUUUUUUGGUAUGAAUUGAGAUUUGCUGUUGAUGCCUGUGGAACAUGACUCCUUUUUUCACAAAAAAAAUGUGCUUAAAUGCAAUUCCCCACGAGAGAAAGACUGGGUACUUCAAUUGAAUAGUCACAUCAUUCUAUGAGCCAGCAAAUGUAACAUCUAUCUUUUUGCUUUCCCCUCUUGCUGAAGGGAUGGCAAGAAUUUUUUCCCCCUGCUUUUGCUGUAAAGGUGGUCUGAAGGCAAAGAGAGCAUCCUGCAGCCCUUCUCUGGGGAGCAGUCAGGUGAGGAGAGCGAGAAACUGUUCAGUCAAUUACAGUUUGGAAAAAAGAAGCUGAGAUAUAAUCCACAAAGGAAAAGCACUACUCAGAGCAGGCAGUUAGUGUUGUUCAGGAUGACUUGGAUUUACACACAUGAAAUAAGACUGGCAGAUGAAAUCUAACUUGGAAAAUACUGCUGUUGUCAAACCAGAGUCUUUUACUUGAGUGCACCCAGGUUAAAGCCCCUCAGUUCACUCAGCUACUCCUCACAGAACUUAAAAUAAUGCACUCUCUAUGACACAAGUCAUGCCAAGCAUCAUACUGCUCGGCAAGAAUUUGUCCUGUAUUAAUGUGUAGAACAUUAAAAACAUUCAAAGAAUCAGAGAAAGAGUAAAACUAAAACAAAGCAGAAUAGUGCAGACACAACGCUUUAGCACGUUGUUUGUUGCUAUUUUCUAACUGCCCUUAGAUUUAAAGCAGCCACAAAUUGUAAUUCAAGAACUAUUUCCUCAGGAACAACAACAAGGUGGGGUGGAUAAAGAGGAAGAGAAUAAUGCUGUGAAGCAACUUGUGUGCACUGCUCUAGUGAGCUGGUGUUAGCUGCAACAGGUCCUUGUCCAUCCUGAGCCCUGUGGUUGGGAGUCCUUGUGAUGCAGUCUGAGGUAACUGAACCAGCUGUGCACUACUCCAGCACCUCCCUCUGGCUUUGCAAAUGCCAAUCAACCCAAAAGACUGACUCCAUCAAUUUUAUUUUUUAUCCUUUUUUCCCCCCUAUGUGUUUCUAGAGACACAGAGUAUGUGAAAAAUGCAUAUUUUAUGAUUGGCUUUUUGCAAAUAUUAAAAUUAAUAUUAUAUGUUAUGUUAAAAACUUAUACUUUAUUAUCAAUUUUCAGUAGUGUGUUAAAUAUAGUUUUAGGCUAUAACAUAAUAUUAAAAUAAAAGCUAUACAAUGUAAGAUACUUUUUCUAACUAGCUCUAGAAAUUGGUUGCACAGAGAUAACUGCAACAAGACACCAAAAUCCCCAAGAGGCCUCCUUACUGGAAAAGACAAACUUUAUUCCACCUCCUCCUCAUCUUUGAGGUGCCAACAGGAUUAAGGAAGAAGGUUGACAAUGACCAGAGAAAUCCCUAGUUUGAAAGGAAUGCAUGCAUCAUGUAUGAGAUAUAUGAAUAUGCAACAGGAUAUUGCUUUUAAGGGUUAAUCCUUUGUUAACGAGCCAUGCUUUUCUUGAGGAAAGCAUCAAAACGUUGGUAUUCUUUGCUUUUGUUGUUCUUUAUUGGCCUAACUCCGACUGUCCAAAUUCUUAUUGCUCUAAUUUGUAUUACUAUCUUUAUAACCAUUUUACUUUUAAAAUUUUACAACAAGUGAUUGGUGUUUUUCACAGAGUAUUUAAGAGAGCAACGGACUCCACAGAAAAGCAAUGGCAAGUAGGUGCAAAAAAAUAGCUGUGUGUAUUUUGUCUCUUAUAGGCAAAAGCAACAUUUAAUCAUAAUGAUUCUUGUCUAAAGGCCAGAGAUUUAUCUGAUAUAUAGAGAAAUAAAGGACGAUUUCUCGGAAGUAUUAAAAAGCUUAAUUGGGUUGUGAUGAUGGAAUAAGAAGUCCUUUCAACGACUUUUAUAACAUCAGCUCCUAGCAACCAGAGUUAUUCCAAUCUCAGACUCCUACCUGCCAAGGCACAGAUAUGGGACACAAUCUAUGAUAAAGCUCGUAAUACACAAGCAGGAAAUUGCAAAAUUAUGGGCAAUUCGCUUCCUCUGUGCGAACAGCUCCAUUCCCAGACCCUGCAGUUUUGAACUGUAGAAUGAUAACAUGCCAAGUUUGUGCCAAUCGUGGGUAGAUUUGGGACUAAAUAAGUAACGCGGGCCCUAAAGGCAAGCACAGGCUAAAAGCUUAUAAUUUUGAUUUUAAAUGUUAAGUCACCCAGCAUUCCCUUAGUGAAAAACUUCAGUAGUAUUUUUGAAGCAGAGAUAUUAUGCUCUUUAUAAACAUGUUUUUUCUUGUUGUGUCUUCCUAAUGGAAGUCAUAAUCACUUGGUCUUGCAUUGUCUUUUUAACCUUUAGUACUUAGAACCCAAUAUUAAUGUAUCAGCUGCCCAUUGUGUGAUAGAGGGAAUCAAGGGUAAGUUUUCUCAAUUCAGCCAGCAAAAUGGAAGUGCACAGCUCAGUUUAAAAAGUAUUUUGUGCCUUUCUCAUUUUUCAUACCAGUUAAUUCUGUGACAAAUGUCCCAAUUUCAUGACUCACCUUUGACACCCUGACAAUACCUAACAACAUCUUCCCUUCUGUCUCCUGUAUUAUCAGGAGAAUCUCAGAGGCUUUUUUUACACUGCAAUUCUUCUGUCCUUGUCCCCUUUCAUCACAGAUCACAAAGCAAAGAUGUACUCCUUAUCUACUCUUAUCAGCCUGGGUAAUGCAUCCCAUCAUGUCUUUUGAUGUAAACUGCCUGCUCAGCCUGAGGAGUCUCCAUCUUUCCUCUUGCAGGGUAAGGACAUAUCACCUUUCCUUGCCUCAUAAAGGAUCCAACCAAACCAAACCAAUCCACAUCCACUUGUCUGUCCAUACAUUUCCCUGGCUGCUUGGUGGCCCAGGUGAUUCCAUGUGUUAUUUCUUAAGGACUAAAGACUUAAAAAAUUCCACCCCAUCUACUCCCAGAAUUUACUCUAAUCUCCCAAAGUCAGCAUAUCCCUGUCCAUUUAAAAUGUGGAAGGUUUGGUCUCAAGUCCUUGUGCAAUGCACAUUUGAAAUUCUUCAAGCUUUCAACUCUAAGGAUGGUUGUAAAAUUUACACUACAACACAUUCACAUUUCAUAAACUUGGAUAAUUUCCUGUGUUUGAGACAUUGACUCCCCUACUACAUUUUUCUACAGCUGGCCAAAAAAAAUUCAGAUAAGCAUGUGACUUAGCAUUAAAAAAUAACAAAUAUUCUCUGAAAUGUUUUGGGGUUUUUUUUAACAAUUCAUAAAGGAACAAUAAAAUAAUUAUCAAUAACCUCAACUAUAUUUUACACAAUGCAGAGUGCUGAAUAUAUUAGCUCUGUAACACCUUAGAGUUAAAUACAAACUGAGUAUGUGCUUUUUGGCCUCAGCUCAGUUUAAGGUAUUAUUUCAUAAUAUUAUACUGAUUGCUCUGUGAGACUAAAGAUAAAACAACAUAGGGCAAAUUUUCAGCUAAUGGACACUUUUAGUUUGGGUGUGGCAGGGCCUGGGAUAUGAUCAAGAGAGACAAUAUUUGCUAAGUACAUUACAAAAUUCUUUACGGUUUUGGUUACUCUCUUAUGAAAUAUAUUUUCCCUAACAAUAUAAAAGCAUGUUGGUGGCAUUAUUUUCAUUUUUAUGUCAUGUCUGAAGGCUGCAAAAUCUCCCUGGUUCAGCUGACAAUUAAACUUUACUUUUUUGAGGCAAGUAGCAUGGACAUUAUGAAGGGACUCAAUAAUACAGCUGAAGGGGCUGUGCAUUAAAGGGGCUUGUCACAAGCAUGGCACUGUUCCAGCCUUCCAGCUGCCCAGCACAAAGGGACUCCAGUGCCUCCAGCACAUUCUUCAUGUUCUCUGUUGUGUUUCUCACCUUCUGGUUACCACCGUCACACCUCUAAAUUGACGUGGAUUUGUGGGGGGAAAGCAAGACAAUCCAAUUCUCACCCUGCUUUGGAGCCAGCCUGGAAAGAGGUGAGGUUCUUGAGUCCAUAAAAGCAGCUCUUGCUCCUGUGUGAGGCUGCAGGGCUAUAUCAAUCACAGCCUGCCACUGUACACCUGCAGUCUGCACACCAGGAAUGCAGUAAUGGUAACCCCAGCAGGGCACAAAAUUUAAUGUGAUGAUGUACUGUGACUGCGGAGCAGAAAACUUGCCCCUGCUGAUUGUGCAGGAUGCAAGUGUUCAGGGUAAAUGAAAUAGAAAAGGCUGCCAAAGUCAUACGCUGUGCAAGUCAACAGAAAAUACAGAUGAAGAGAAAAAGGAAAAGCUAACAGAAAUGCAGACCAAAGUUUGGCACAUGAGUGUUGUUCUACGGUAUAGAAAGCAGCUGUUAGACUUUCAUCUGGCUUCUCAGACUUUCAUCUGGCCUCUCAUCCUACUUACUACACAGAAUUUUACUCAAAUUAUGAAUCGAAUGUGGUUCUCUCAACCCCUUUUUUCAACUUCUUAAAAAAAUGCCUCAAGUUUUCACACAGACUGUACACACAGUGGUUACACGAUAUAAAUAUUUAUGGCUGGCUUAAAGCCAGACUUUAAGUAUCAGUCCUUGGUUUAAAAUAUCAACAUCACAUGGGAAAAAUGAACUAAUUUUAAACAAAUACACAUCACCACCAUUCAUUAGCCAGAUGCAAUUCAUUCAAGUAAGAAAGGAAGGACUGAUGAACAUAUUCCAAUCAAUAUUCAAGACUUGAGUUAUUUCCUAGGUCACAGAAGGCACCUGAGCUUUCUCUGCAAGGUCACAUCUCUCAUUCCCUAAGUGCAGGCAAGAGGAGAGCUGAGGCAUUGUUCACAGGGGUCCCAGGAUGAGGGAAGAGACGAGAAAGUUGACUCCAUGUAUCAGAAGGCUUGAUUUAUUAUUUUAUGAUAUAUAAUAUAUUAAAACUAUACUAAAAGAACAGAAGAAAGGAUUUCAUCAGAAGGCUAACCUAAGACUAGAAAAGGAAUGAAUAACAAAGGCUUGUCUCUCUCUGACUGAGACAGUCUGGACAGGUGAACUGUGAUUGGCCAUUAAUUAGAAACAACCAGAUGAGACCAAUCACAGAUUCCCCCUGUUGCAUUCCACAGCAGCAGAUAAGAAUUGUUUACAGUUUGUUCCUGAGGCCUCUCAGCUUCUCAGGAGGGAAAAAUCCUAAGGAAAGGAUUUUUCAUAGAACGUGUCAGUGACAUCAAGCAGCAGAUAUUGUUCCUCUUGACUUCAGGAAAGUUUUCCACAAUGUCUCUGUAACAUCCUCACUGACAAACUGAGGAAGUUCAGCCCAGGUGAAUAGACAGCGAGGUGUAUUAAAACUUAAGAUUGGAGCACAUGACUUGAGAAUGCUUGAAGUGGUCACUUUUAACCUGGGAUUCAUCCUCCAUGCACAUUUGGCUGACAUUUUACAUCACUGGGAGGAAAUAUCUCAACUUAGAAGAGGAAUAUUACGGCACUUAACAGACGCUGAGAACUGAGAGAGGAUAAUCAAAUUUGCAGAUGUGUUGACAAGACUCACCUCACUAUCAGGGCAGAAAUAAAAUAAUUAACAAGAAACUGGGGGAUGUCCUGGAUUGCCAAACAAAUUGUAUCUAUUUGCAAUCUGUAUGGCAGUUGGCUUCUGUUCAGUGUGCAGUUUACCUUAUCUCUUCCACACCCACUCCUCCCUCCAGGGGGACUGUUAUCUGCUGAUAACAGGCUAUUGAAUGUCACUGCCUGACUGAUAAGAGCUACAGCAUCCCAUUGUGAGAUGUGAGCCCAGAGGGAGGAGCCAAGCAUUCCUACUCAGAUAGAAUCUGGAGAUCCUGGAACACCAGCACAGCUUCUCCACUGUAUUUCCCAGAGAAACAGCAGCUGCCUCUUCCACUGGAUCUUCAGAGGAAGACUACACCUUUCUACAGGAUUCCUGCUCCAGCAGAACCAUCCCUGACACUCAAGGAGAACUGCAGCCAUACUUCCAAUUAGACUGCUACCAACACCCUGACCCACAGGGUGUCAGGCUGUAUUCUGGCUCUGUCAGUGUUGUUUUGGUUUACUGCAUUGUUUAUUUUAUCUUUUUAUUUUCUUCCCUAAUAAAGAACUGUUAUUUCUGCUCCCA